GACGAACGCUGGCGGCGUGCUUAACACAUGCAAGUCGAACGGAAAGGCCCUGCUUUUGUGGGGCGCUCGAGUGGCGAACGGGUGAGUAACGCGUGAGUAACCUGCCCUUGACUUUGGGAUAACCUCAGGAAACUGGGGCUAAUACCGGAUAGGAGCUCCUGCUGCAUGGUGGGGGUUGGAAAGUUUCGGCGGUUGGGGAUGGACUCGCGGCUUAUCAGCUUGUUGGUGGGGUAGUGGCUUACCAAGGCUUUGACGGGUAGCCGGCCUGAGAGGGUGACCGGCCACAUUGGGACUGAGAUACGGCCCAGACUCCUACGGGAGGCAGCAGUGGGGAAUAUUGCACAAUGGGCGGAAGCCUGAUGCAGCAACGCCGCGUGCGGGAUGACGGCCUUCGGGUUGUAAACCGCUUUCGCCUGUGACGAAGCGUGAGUGACGGUAAUGGGUAAAGAAGCACCGGCUAACUACGUGCCAGCAGCCGCGGUGAUACGUAGGGUGCGAGCGUUGUCCGGAUUUAUUGGGCGUAAAGGGCUCGUAGGUGGUUGAUCGCGUCGGAAGUGUAAUCUUGGGGCUUAACCCUGAGCGUGCUUUCGAUACGGGUUGACUUGAGGAAGGUAGGGGAGAAUGGAAUUCCUGGUGGAGCGGUGGAAUGCGCAGAUAUCAGGAGGAACACCAGUGGCGAAGGCGGUUCUCUGGGCCUUUCCUGACGCUGAGGAGCGAAAGCGUGGGAGCGAACAGGCUUAGAUACCCUGGUAGUCCACGCUGUAAACGGUGGGUACUAGGUGUGGGGUCCAUUCCACGGGUUCCGUGCCGUAGCUAACGCUUUAAGUACCCCGCCUGGGGAGUACGGCCGCAAGGCUAAAACUCAAAGGAAUUGACGGGGCCCCGCACAAGCGGCGGAGCAUGCGGAUUAAUUCGAUGCAACGCGUAGAACCUUACCUGGGUUUGACAUGGAUCGGGAGUGCUCAGAGAUGGGUGUGCCUCUUUUGGGGUCGGUUCACAGGUGGUGCAUGGCUGUCGUCAGCUCGUGUCGUGAGAUGUUGGGUUAAGUCCCGCAACGAGCGCAACCCUUGUUCACUGUUGCCAGCACGUUAUGGUGGGGACUCAGUGGAGACCGCCGGGGUCAACUCGGAGGAAGGUGGGGAUGACGUCAAGUCAUCAUGCCCCUUAUGUCCAGGGCUUCACGCAUGCUACAAUGGCUGGUACAGAGAGUGGCGAGCCUGUGAGGGUGAGCGAAUCUCGGAAAGCCGGUCUCAGUUCGGAUUGGGGUCUGCAACUCGACCUCAUGAAGUCGGAGUCGCUAGUAAUCGCAGAUCAGCAACGCUGCGGUGAAUACGUUCCCGGG
rnacentral:rRNA from 1 species